rnacentral:tRNA from 1 species
GCACCGUUAGCUCAAUUGGCAGAGCAAGUGACUCUUAAUCACUGGGUUGCAGGUUCGAUUCCUGCACGGUGCAUCA